GCAGGCAGCAGGCUGAGUCGCGUAACGCGACCAGCGAUAACGAUACCACGAUACAAAAGCUGAGGAAAGAAAUGCGCGAUAGACGUAGCAAGCGCGGCUAAGACUGCUUCUAUCUCGUUAAGGAGGAG
rnacentral:sRNA from 1 species